AACCUAGACCAAUUGCCUUUGACCUAAUGGGAUUGGAUUAAUUUGAAUUGGAUCCUUAUCCAACUUGAAUCAGUUUUAAGUGGAGAAGGACUCCUCUGUGCCCAUCAGAAUCUGCAACAAAAUAUAAAUGCCGCCCCCUUAUUUUUGGCAUGUGAAAUGAAGAGUCCUUCUUAAUGAAGGCUCUUAAUUUUUACGCAUUUCCAUAUUUUUCCAACC
rnacentral:lncRNA from 1 species